UUCAAUCCAUAGUAAAUAACUACAUAAUUUAUAAAAUUAAAAAAUAUAUUAAAAAUGAGCAAUACCAACGGAAAUCCUCAACGCAAAAAUUAUACUGAGAGAGAGAAAUGUUUGCUGUUGGAAAUAUGUAAUUGGAAAAUACAACCAUAUUAUGUCCACCAACCAAAACAAUGAAACCUGGGAAAAAAUAGCACUGGAAUUUAAUGCCAGCGCUGAAUUUCCCGGAACUCCCAAGUAGCUGAACACUGAAAAGUAGCAGAGGAAAAUAUUCAAAAAUAUAAUGAGCAGAAGGUUUUGGACCAUUUGAAGAGAGACCAAACU
rnacentral:lncRNA from 1 species